GAUGAACGCUGGCGGCGUGCCUAAUACAUGCAAGUCGAGCGAACGGAAGAGAAGCUUGCUUCCCUGAUGUUAGCGGCGGAAGGGUGAGUAACACGUGGAUAACCUACCUAUAAGACUGGGAUAACUUCGGGAAACCGGAGCUAAAACCGGCUGAUAUUAUGAACCGCACGGUUCAAAAGUGAAAGACGGUCUUGCAGACAGUUAUAGAUGGAUCCGCGCUGCAUUAGCUAGUUGGUAAGGUAACGGGUUACCAAGGCAACGAUGAAAAGCCGACCUGAGAGGGUGAUCGGCCACACUGGAACUGAGACACGGCCCAGACUCCUACGGGAGGCAGCAGUAGGGAAUCCUCCGCGAUGGGCGAGAGCCUGACGGAGCAACGCCGCGUGAGUGCUGAAGGUCUUCGGAUCGUAAAGCUCUGAUAUUAGGGAAGAACAAAUGUGUAAGUAACUGUGCACAUCUUGACGGUACCUAAUCAGAAAGCCACGGCUAACUACGUG
rnacentral:rRNA from 1 species